rnacentral:rRNA from 1 species
UACAGAGGUCUCAAGCGUUGUUCGGAUUCAUUGGGCGUAAAGGGUGCGUAGGCGGCGCGGUAAGUCGGGUGUGAAAUCUCGGAGCUUAACUCCGAAACUGCAUUCGAUACUGCCGUGCUUGAGGACUGGAGAGGAGACUGGGAAUUUACGGUGUAGCGGUGAAAUGCGCAGAUAUCAGGAGGAACACCAAUGGCGAAGGCAGCUCGCUGGGGACGGUACUGACGCUGAGACGCGAAAAGCCGUGGGGGGAGCAAAACAGG